AUUGAACGCUAGCGGGAUGCUUUACACAUGCAAGUCGAACGGCAGCGCGGACUUCGGUCUGGCGGCGAGUGGCGAACGGGUGAGUAAUGUAUCGGAACGUGCCCAGUAGCGGGGGAUAACUACGCGAAAGCGUAGCUAAUACCGCAUACGCCCUACGGGGGAAAGCAGGGGAUCGUAAGACCUUGCACUAUUGGAGCGGCCGAUAUCGGAUUAGCUAGUUGGUGAGGUAACGGCUCACCAAGGCGACGAUCCGUAGCUGGUUUGAGAGGACGACCAGCCACACUGGGACUGAGACACGGCCCAGACUCCUACGGGAGGCGGCAGUGGGGAAUUUUGGACAAUGGGGGCAACCCUGAUCCAGCCAUCCCGCGUGUGCGAUGAAGGCCUUCGGGUUGUAAAGCACUUUUGGCAGGAAAGAAACGUCGCGGGCUAAUACCCCGUGGAACUGACGGUACCUGCAGAAUAAGCACCGGCUAACUACGUG
rnacentral:rRNA from 1 species